rnacentral:rRNA from 1 species
AACGAACGCUGGCGGCAUGCCUAACACAUGCAAGUCGAACGAGACCUUCGGGUCUAGUGGCGCACGGGUGCGUAACGCGUGGGAACCUGCCCUAGGUUCGGAAAAACCCCCCGAAAGGGGGUGCAAUACCGGAUAAUUUUUUCGGACCAAAGAUUUAUCGCCUUUGGAUGGGCCCGCGUUGGAUUAGCUAGUUGGUAGGGUAAAAGCCUACCAAGGCGACGAUCCAUAGCUGGUCUGAGAGGAUGAUCAGCCACACUGGGACUGAGACACGGCCCAGACUCCUACGGGAGGCAGCAGUGGGGAAUAUUGGACAAUGGGCGAAAGCCUGAUCCAGCAAUGCCGCGUGAGUGAUGAAGGCCUUAGGGUUGUAAAGCUCUUUUACCCGGGAUGAUAAUGACAGUACCGGGAGAAUAAGCUCCGGCUAACUCCGUG